UUUUGAUUGUUGCUCAGAAGGCGUGGCAAUCUGACAAGCCUUCGAGUGACUAUCAAAUCU
rnacentral:pre_miRNA from 1 species